rnacentral:rRNA from 1 species
AGAGUUUGAUCAUGGCUCAGAACGAACGCUGGCGGCGUGGAUAAGACAUGCAAGUCGAGCGCUAAUUACAGGGUAGCAAUAUUCUGUAGUUGGAGCGGCGCAAGGGUGCGUAACACGUGGGUAAUCUGCCAUGAAGUUUGGGAUAACUCGCUGAAAGGCGAGCUAAUACCGGAUGUGAAGAUUGGAAGGCGUCUUUUGAUCUUCAAAGUUGGGGACCGUAAGGCCUGACGCUUCAUGAUGAGCCCGCGGCCUAUCAGCUAGUUGGUGAGGUAACGGCUCACCAAGGCUAAGACGGGUAGCUGGUCUGAGAGGACGACCAGCCACACUGGAACUGAGACACGGUCCAGACACCUACGGGUGGCAGCAGUCGAGAAUUUUUCACAAUGGGGGAAACCCUGAUGGAGCGACGCCGCGUGGGGGAUGAAUGGCUUCGGCCCGUAAACCCCUGUCAUUCGCGAACAAUGCCUGCAUAUUAACACCAUGCAGGUUGAUAGUAGCGGAAGAGGAAGGGACGGCUAACUCUGUGCCAGCAGCCGCGGUAAUACAGAGGUCCCAAGCGUUGUUCGGAUUCACUGGGCGUAAAGGGUGCGUAGGCGGUCGGGUAAGUCUGAUGUGAAAUCUCGGAGCUCAACUCCGAAACUGCAUUGGAUACUAUUCGGCUUGAGGUCUGGAGGGGGGACUGGAAUUCUCGGUGUAGCAGUGAAAUGCGUAGAUAUCGAGAGGAACACCAGUGGCGAAGGCGAGUCCCUGGACAGGUCCUGACGCUGAGGCACGAAAGCUAGGGGAGCAAACAGGAUUAGAUACCCUGGUAGUCCUAGCUGUAAACGGUGUGUAUUUGCUGUAAAAGGAAUCGACCCCUUUUGUGGCGUAGCAAACGCGUUAAAUACACCGCCUGGGAAGUACGGUCGCAGAUUAAAACUCAAAGAAAUUGACGGGGGCCUGCACAAGCGGUGGAGUAUGUGGCUUAAUUC